rnacentral:lncRNA from 1 species
CUCUGGGAGAGAUUGUCCAGUUCUGAGCUGCACCAAUGGCCCCUCCAGGCCUCACCCCUUAACACCCUGACUCAAUGGGGGCAACCCUGCGGAGUUUCAGAGCCGCCCGCGAGCCUGGGGGGUGUUACGCGGUGUGGGGAGAAGGGACUCAUUCCUUGGGGGUCCCACCUGUUAUGCCGUCGGGGGACAUCGAGGUGGAGAUACCCCGAAACCGUGGGCGCCUAGCCGGCUGCGAUCUGGCUAGAAGUACCAACUGUCACGCCGCCGCUUGGGCUGUGGGGGUGGGGCUGUGAUUUGGGGUCGGGCCCAGAGCUGCUCCGGACCCCGGCGGGCCACUACCCGGAGGAUCCUCGCCUCCCAGUUCUCGGGCCCCGCCACCGUCCGCUUGUCCAGAUAUGACAUCAAGCAACCUUUCCAGCACGCAGAACCUCUGAAAAGGUGCCCACUGACGCCUCCACCUUCUUCCCCACCCCAGCUGGGCUGGGGAGCCUCGCCGGUGGCCCGCCCCCUCCGAGCCGGGAUCCUAGCCGCCGGACCGCCCUCUGCGCCCACCCCCCGGGAGCGGCAGCGCUGGGGGAGUGCCCGCCAGGUACGCGCGCGGCACCGUGCGGGCUGCGCUCACGCCCCCUCGCCCCAAGGCUGCCCAACUGCCGCUCCCCGGGGUCAGGCCCACCCGCGAGACCGGUGUCCGAUCGGCCCCCGCGACCCGGAGGCCGGCUCUCUGCCCCCACCCCACGACUCACUUGCACCGGAGUCGCUGCAGCCGCCCGGAAUUCCGCUCGCCGAUCCCCCAGCCGCGGAACGAAAUCCGGGGCAGGGCAGCGUCCGGGCUCCGCACGGGAUCGCGCUCUUGGGUCGGCCUGCCAGGAGCAAGGGACUAGCAACCUGCCCGGACCGGCCCUUCCCACUCCCGUCCUGACCGCCGCCGCUGCCCCGGCCGCUGCCUCGCUGGUGCGAACGCUUCCGACUUGCCACCGCGAGCCUCCCGGGCUGACGAGCAUGCCCAGUCCGCGGCCCGAGCCGGCCCGGUUUCCCGCGCGACCCGAGUCCGCUCCUCCGGGUGUUCACGGCGGCCGAGGGGCGGGCCUGGCCGGCCAGGCGGAGUCCGCGGGGGGCUCUUCCGGGGACCAGGGGGGACCCGCACCGGACUGCACGCCACCGGGUGAUCGGGGUUUGGGCUUCAUUUAUUUUACUUUCAAGCGGUGGGAAACUGAGGAGGCGGGUGCUUCCCCCAAAGACGAGCGAGACCCAGCUGGACAGGAAGCCGCUAAGGGAGGAUGGACUGAAGCCGGGGUUUAUGAUCUGUGAUGAUAAACCGUUUAGAGCACAGCAGGAAAGUUGAGCCGCUGGAGCCGGUCAGAAUGCGGAGAACGGGAACCCAGCCUUCAAGGAAGCCAGGAUCGGGGCCCCAGUUGUCCAACUACGCUUGGAGUCUCUUUCCCAGCGUGCUCAAGAGCUGCGACACUUGUGAUUAACUCCUGGUUGGCCAUGUAUUUAGAAAGACUUCAAACUCUGGUGCAUUUUAAAACCUCUAUCCAUAGACUUCCAUCUUCCUACCCCCUCUCCCAAAAUAAUAGAGCUGCCUGAGCCAAAAGGCCCGCGAAGCCAGGGAAUGUGGAGUAUCCCGGAGAAGCUCCUAUCCUUGCUAAAAGGACUAGGAGCGCGUCGGGGUCGUCCCGCCCUGGCCCCACCUCUCGUCGCCCCUGCGAGCUGCGGCGAAAACCUGGAGAUUGGUGUGCCCGGGCGGGAGCCCUGCGCAUGCCCAGUAUAGUCCAACCCGGUGUGGGUCGCCCUAAGGAAGGUUUUCCUCUGCUCCGGGAGCGGAACCCCUGCGCCCGGGUUAGGGCGGGCGGCGGAGAAAGCUGACCUUAGGCUGCGGUGCCCUGCUUCCCUGAACGGCACGCGCGGCACCUUCUGUGGCUUCGAGGCUGCUCGGGGCUAUACCUCCCGCCUGGUCGGGGACUUCGCUGGCGGGGAGGGGGUGUGCGGGCGGUGUCGGUAUGACACGUGACUGUCCGCGGCGCUUCGGGCAGCCAUCUUCCGCCCGGUCACCCGGCCGGCCGCGGGCUGUCGGAAUUGAUCCCAGCGCCAGUGGGACAGAAGAGAGCCUCCUUAUCCACCACAUCCUCUCUCCCUCCAGGCUAGGGCCUCAGCUCCACACCUGCCUCCACCCGAACCUGGGGUGUCGGAAUCGCUGCACCGGCCCUCUGCUGGCCCAGAGGACAUGCUCUCGUUCUGACCAGACGCUAACGGCUGCGAUAUCGAGAGCUCAGAACUCCAGCAGUGGAUGGCCUCUGCUUUUUUCCCAGAGGAAGAAGUUGUAAGUGGGGUCCUCUUGCGUAAGGCAGCCGCCCCCCUGAUCUAACCUGUUCCCCGGGGCAGAGGCCUGAUGUGUUGGCAGGGAUGUCAGAACCGAGACUUUCGCUCCUCCCUGUGGUGCACUACCCACGAACCCUGCUGGUGGACAGCUUGGAUGGUGAUGAUGUGAAUAAUGAACAUUUAUUGCUCUCCUCCCCUGAAUCACUUGGGGUCUCCGUUAUCUCGGGGCCUACCGCAUUGCCAUCACCCAACAGCUUGUUAGAAAUGCAAAUUAUGGACAGAAUCAGAAACGCUAGGGAGGGGGGGGUCCUAAGGUCUGAUUGAUGUGUCCACCUGGCAGGUAGUUGUGAUAGAUGCUUUACACCUUGGUUUCAACAAAGCCCUAAACCCGUUUUUCAUGUGAGACCUUGAAAAGUUAGGUACUCUGUUCCAAAACACAGAAAAGUAAGGGAUUCAAAAUGAGGCAGUCUGUCCCAGUGCAGACUUUUUAUUGAGCACUCCACUCCAGCUUCUCUGACUUCUUCACCCUGAGGACACUGUUAGAGCUCUUCUCCAAGAGAGUAAGAAAAAAUGCAUUUGUCAUGCAUGGCUGUAAAAUAACAAUUGAAAUAAAGUUCAACUACGUGUUUUCAGUGUCUACUGGGAGGCUCUGUGAUUCAUAGGAGCUCUACUGGGUAUUUUUCGUCAGUUUGCACUUAAAAGGUGAAGGAAGGUUUGCUUUCUUGUGUUUUUUCCAGAUUAAAAAAGUGCCAGAAAACUGCUGGCUGUUUUCUCUUCAGUGUUACUAUGCAAAGUGUACUGUAAUCUUUAGACUCUGGAAAAUAAAGUCCAAGUAAGUAUCUGGUGUAGACUUUUUUCUUUAAAAUGCACCUCUCUGAUAUAAAGUUGAAUUAAAUUUUGCAAAAUAUUAACAGUUCUGAAAUGUAAGUGAUGUGUCUAGGAAGCUAUGGGUUUUUUUCCUAAUCUUCUGUAUGUUUAAAAUGAUUCAUAAUAAAAAGCUUUGUAAAUGACU